GAGUUUGAUUCUGGCUCAGGACAAACGCUGGCGGCGUGCAUAACACAUGCAAGUCGAACGAAAUCUACAUGAUUUAGUGGCGAACGGGUGAGUAACACGUGAGAAACCUGCCUUACACAGAGGGAUAGCCGUUGGAAACGACGAUUAAUACCUCAUGACACCGUGACAUCGCAUGAUGAUGCGGUCAAAGAUUUAUCGGUGUAAGAUGGUCUCGCGCCUGAUUAGCUGGUUGGUGGGGUAACGGCCUACCAAGGCGACGAUCAGUAGCCGAUCUGAGAGGGUGGACGGCCACAUUGGGACUGAGACACGGCCCAAACUCCUACGGGAGGCAGCAGUGGGGAAUUUUGCACAAUGGGGGAAACCCCUGAUGCAGCGAUCGCCAAAGUGAACGAAGAAGGCCUUCGGGUUGUAAAGUUCUGUCCUUGGUGAAGAUAAUGACCGUACCAGNAGAGCC
rnacentral:rRNA from 1 species